GAUGAACGCUGGCGGCGUGCCUAAUACAUGCAAGUCGAGCGAACAGACGAGGGGCUUGCUCCUCUGACGUUAGCGGCGGACGGGUGAGUAACACGUGGAUAACCUACCUAUAAGACUGGGAUAACUUCGGGAAACCGGAGCUACUACCGGAUAAUAUAUUGAACCGCAUGGUUCAAUAGUGUAAGACGGUUUUGCUGUCACUUAUAGAUGGAUCCGCGCCGCAUUAGCUAGUUGGUAAGGUAACGGCUUACCAAGGCAACGAUGCGUAGCCGACCUGAGAGGGUGAUCGGCCAGACUGGAACUGAGACACGGUCCAGACUCCUACGGGAGGCAGCAGUAGGGAAUCUUCCGCAAUGGGCGAAAGCCUGACGGAGCAACGCCGCGUGAGUGAUGAAGGUCUUCGGAUCGUAAAACUCUGUUAUUAGGGAAGAACAAAUGUGUAAGUAACUAUGCACGUCUUGACGGUACCUAAUCAGAAAGCCACGGCUAACUACGUG
rnacentral:rRNA from 1 species